CUUUCGGAGCUGUGCGGCAUUCUGAGCAGUGUGGACCUCUGUGAUGGGACAUCUUGUGGGAUCUCACAGCCAGUUCUGUGGCAAAGGAGGAUGAAGGCUUACGAGGACUCGUCAGGAAGCUGGAUAACAGAGCGAGCGCAAUGUGCUAGAAUAGAAGACCAGAAAAUGAAAUGGUGGAGUUUGAGGCUGGAUAGACAGUUUGAAAGGUACAAAUAAUGGUUUGAAUAAAGAAAGGUAUUAAUGGGUCACCUCAAGUGAAGGCACUGCAAACACAAUGAUUGGUCAUUCUGAAUUUCCGGUCCUUCAUUCUGAAUUUCAAAGGCUCCUGUGACAAGUGGACAUGCAGUGACUGCACCUUUGUUUCUGAGGUGCCUGGAUGGAGGCUCAAAUAGAAGAUGGUGUCAGAUAUAUUGUGUUAAAAUUUUACCAUUAAAGUGUAUUAUAACAUGAA
rnacentral:lncRNA from 1 species